GAUAAGAACGCAGCGAAAUGCGAUACGUAAUGUGAAUUGCAGAAUUCAGUGAAUCAUCGAGUCUUUGAACGCACAUUGCGCCCCCUGGUAUUCCGGGGGGCAUGCCUGUCCGAGCGUCAUUGCUGCCCUCAAGCACGGCUUGUGUGUUGGGCCUCCGUCCUCCUCCCGGGGGACGGGCCCGAAAGGCAGCGGCGGCACCGCGUCCGGUCCUCGAGCGUAUGGGGCUUCGUCACCCGCUCUUGUAGGCCCGGCCGGCGCUUGCCGACACAUCAAUCUUUUUUCCAGGUUGACCUCGGAUCAGGUAGGGAUACCCGCUGAACUUAAGCAUAUCAAUAAGCGGAGGA
rnacentral:misc_RNA from 1 species